CGAGCCCAAAAGUCAGGUUUUAACGGGGGAGCUACCGUUUCCCCUCCCAAAUCACCCUCCGACCGAGAACCCUAAUAAAACCAGAUAAACUCUUUCUCUCCUCUUAAAGCCUGUAACAAGAGAUAAAGAAAUCAGACCCCGUAACAAUGAGAAGAGAGGAAACAAAGAGAUGAAAGAAGGUAAUCAUGCUUCAGAGUCUCAUUUAGCUUUAAAACAAGGUUAUAGAUCUGGAUCAGCUUUUAAAUUGCUUAGAUGAAUUUUGAACUGAAAUUUCUGAAAUUUCUGAAAUCAGCUAAAUCUGUAUUAGAUUCUUUGUGCUGCACCCAAGGUAGUUUUGUUAUUGGUGUUGAUGUUCGUCCGAUUAAAGCUAUUCAAGGUGUAAUUUCAGUUGUAGAAGAUAUCACUACUGCUAAAUGUAGAGCUACUAUUGCAAAACAUAUGCCUAUAAAUGGUGUUAAGACUUUUAAUGUGGUAUGACAUGAAGGCUCUCCUAAUGUUGGUCGUAAAGAUAAAGAUAUAGCUGAAGAAGCUAUGACCGACCACUUUGGUUAUCAAGUCAAUUAAAAUAGCAACGGAGUUUUUGUCACCCGAGGGACUUUUGUGACUAAGUUUACCCAUGUGCCAGUUAUAAGCAGAAAUGUUAGUGCUACAACCUUUGUGUGGUCGGAGAGUCUGCGUGACAUUUUCGAUAGAGCUGCUUCCUUUUACUUUAAAUGAUCCGUAUUUAAAGGAUCAUAGUUUAAGAACUGAUAAGGUCAAGGCGUUUUGCAAAGAUCUUCUGGUUUUGGGAAAGCAAGACCUUGAGCAUCUUCUUGAGAUAAAUCAAUUAGGAUGCAGAAAGAUGCCUUGGAAGACGGUUAUGCUGAUGAUGAGUUAUCUUCUCUUUCUUCUAUUAAGGUUUUUUUCACUUUUUAACGUGGUUCUACCUUCAACCUGAAACUUAUUUCCAGGAUCAAGCGGACUUAAUGCGCAUAUACAUUGAGCCAGGGUGAUGAAAUUAGCAUUACUUAUAUUUUAGUAAAAGUCUCUUUAUCUCAUGCAUAAAGAGAAGAAGAGGAAGAGGUUAUGGUUAUUAUAAAAUGUUUGCCACUCUACUAUAUUUUGCUUUUAAUCGUAGGCGUUCAUUUAUUAGCAGUGUGGUUUUUCAAGUCUCUGUGAUAGUUGAAACUGGUUCAACCUUACUUGUGUUUUGUAUAUAAUUCUACCUUGAAGGGAGGAGAAAAACAAGACUUUAUAAGCUCGAGGCAUCAUGACUAUUUCUGCCUUUCUGUUCUCUCUAUAUAUAGAUGCUUUACGGAGUAUAAUCUUGAUCAUCUCUCCUUUCAUUUGAUCAAGAACAAGAAAAGAGUAGUUGCAGAAGUGAGAACUAUUCAAUGUUUGUACUUGCUGAAUUGCCCCUUGCCGGCAAGUCCACAAAUCUGUACUUUAAAAUGUCUCUAAAGAGAUUAGAGCGGUA